UCCAGACUCCUACGGGAGGCAGCAGUGAGGAAUAUUGGUCAAUGGCCGAGAGGCUGAACCAGCCAAGUCGCGUGAGGGAAGAAUGUCCUAUGGAUUGUAAACCUCUUUUGUCAGGGAGCAAAGUCACCCACGUGUGGGUGUUGGAGAGUACCUGAAGAAAAAGCAUCGGCUAACUCCGUGCCAGCAGCCGCGGUAAUACGGAGGAUGCGAGCGUUAUCCGGAUUUAUUGGGUUUAAAGGGUGCGCAGGCGGCUUGUAAAGUAGGGGGAAAAGGCCGGGGGCCCACCCCCGGCGAGCCGUUGAAACUGGCGGGCUGGAGUUGGAGAGAAGUACGCGGAAUGCGCGGUGUAGCGGUGAAAUGCUUAGAUAUCGCGCAGAACUCCGAUUGCGAAGGCAGCAUGCCGGCUCCACACUGACGCUGAGGCACGAAAGCGUGGGUAUCGAACAGGAUUAGAUACCCGCGUA
rnacentral:rRNA from 1 species